CAAUAGCGUAUAUUAAAGCUGUUGCGGUUAAAAAGCUCGUAGUUGGAUUUCUGUCAAGGACAACUGGUCCGCCCCUCGGGUGAGCACAUAGUUUGGUCUUGGCAUCUUGUUGGAAACUGUUGCUGCACUUGGUUGUGUGGCGCAGUGUCCAGCACUUUCACUUUGAGGAAAUUGGAGUGUUUCAAGCAGGCACAUGCCUUUGGACACAGUAGCAUGAAAUAAUUAGAUUGGGCUUUUGCUCCAACUUGUCGGUUUCUGGAGCUGAGGUGAGAAUUAAUGGGGAUUGUUGGGGGCAUCCGAAUUUAGCCGUCAGAGGUGAAAUUCUUGGAUCUGCUAAAGACGGACAACUGCGAAAGCGUUUGCCCAGGAUGUUUUCAUUGA
rnacentral:rRNA from 1 species